AUACAGGAGGAAGCGGAUAAGAUAGACGGUAUGCUCAAUACACUCUCCUUACAGGCUGAAGGUGGGACUGGAGAACCCCAUGCACUGUACCUGAGUACCUGGCUUAUCUAUCAUGUUCUUAGAUUAAUGAUUAGGUAUGUUGUAUCUGGGUUUGUAUUGUAGGUAUGUUGUAUCUGGGUUUGUAUUGUAGGUAUGUUGUAUCUGGGUUUGUAUUGUAGGUAUGUUGUAUCUGGGUUUGUAUUGUAGGUAUGUUGUAUCUGGGUUUGUAUUGUAGGUAUGUUGUA